CGGAGGGUGCAAGCGUUGUCCGGAUUUAUUGGGUUUAAAGGGUGCGUAGGUGGCUCUAUAAGUCAGUGGUGAAAGUCUGCAGCUUAACUGUAGAACUGCCAUUGAUACUGUGGAGCUCGAGUACUGAUGAGGUAGGCGGAAUUGAUAGUGUAGCGGUGAAAUGCAUAGAUAUUAUCAAGAACACCGAUUGCGAAGGCAGCUUACUAAGGAGUUACUGACACUGAGGCACGAAAGCGUGGGGAUCAAACAGGAUUAGAUACCCUGGUAGUCCACGCCAUAAACGAUGAUUACUCGAUGUAUGCGAUAGACAGUAUGCGUCCAAGCGAAAGCGUUAAGUAAUCCACCUGGGGAGUACGACCGCAAGGUUG
rnacentral:rRNA from 1 species